rnacentral:rRNA from 1 species
AACGAACGCUGGCGGCAGGCUUAACACAUGCAAGUCGAGCGCCCCGCAAGGGGAGCGGCAGACGGGUGAGUAACGCGUGGGAAUCUACCCAUCUCUACGGAAUAACGCAUGGAAACGUGUGCUAAUACCGUAUACGUCCUUCGGGAGAAAGAUUUAUCGCUGAAGGAUCGGCCCGCGUCUGAUUAGCUAGUUGGUGGGGUAAUGGCCCACCAAGGCGACGAUCAGUAGCUGGUCUGAGAGGAUGAUCAGCCACAUUGGGACUGAGACACGGCCCAAACUCCUACGGGAGGCAGCAGUGGGGAAUAUUGGACAAUGGGCGCAAGCCUGAUCCAGCCAUGCCGCGUGAGUGAUGAAGGCCUUAGGGUUGUAAAGCUCUUCCGUCCGGGACGAUAAUGACGGUACCGGAAGAAGAAGCCCCGGCUAACUUCGUGCCAGCCGCCGCUGUAAGAC